GACGAACGCUGGCGGCGUGCUUAACACAUGCAAGUCGAACGGUAAGGCCCCUUCGGGGGUACACGAGUGGCGAACGGGUGAGUAACACGUGGGUGAUCUGCCCUGCACUCUGGGAUAAGCCUGGGAAACUGGGUCUAAUACCGGAUAUGAGCUCCUGUCGCAUGGCGGGGGUUGGAAAGGUUUACUGGUGCAGGAUGGGCCCGCGGCCUAUCAGCUUGUUGGUGGGGUAAUGGCCUACCAAGGCGACGACGGGUAGCCGGCCUGAGAGGGCGACCGGCCACACUGGGACUGAGACACGGCCCAGACGCCUACGGGAGGCAGCAGUGGGGAAUAUUGCACAAUGGGCGAAAGCCUGAUGCAGCGACGCCGCGUGAGGGAUGACGGCCUUCGGGUUGUAAACCUCUUUCAGCAGGGACGAAGCGAGAGUGACGGUACCUGCAGAAGAAGCACCGGCCAACUACGUGCCAGCCGCCGCGGUAACAC
rnacentral:rRNA from 1 species